AAAAACAUGGCUCCUUGCUGUAGAUUAAUAUAUAAGGGGUCGGACCUGCCCGGUGACUAGUAUGUUAAACGGCCGCGGUACCCUAACCGUGCAAAGGUAGCAUAAUCAUUUGCCUUUUAAUUGGAGGCUUGUAUGAAUGGUUUGACGAGAGCUAAGCUGUCUCUUUUGAAAUAUUUAGAAAUUAACUUUUAGGUGAAGAGGCCUAAAUGUGGUUGAGGGACAAGAAGACCCUGUUGAGCUUUAGUGAUAUAUUAAGGUAAAAAGGUUAGUUUAAAAUUUAAGUUUUUUAAAUUAUUUAAUGAGUGUAUGAAAGUAUAAUGUUUUUUAAUAGUAAUCUUUAGUUGGGGCGACUGAGGAACAUUAAAAGCUUCCUUUAAAAUCAGUGUAUAUGAAAGUUUAGUUUGUUUGUAAGGUAUGUAAACGAAUUGUGAAUUGAUCCAGUAAAAUUACUGAUUAAGGGAAAAAGUUACCACAGGGAUAACAGCGUAAUCUUUCUGGAGAGAUCUUAUCGAAAGGAGGGUUUGCGACCUCGAUGUUGGACUAAGAUAUCCUGAGGGUGUAGAAGUUCUCGAUGGUUGGUCUGUUCGACCAUUAAAAUCUUACGUGAUCUGA
rnacentral:rRNA from 1 species